rnacentral:rRNA from 1 species
GAUGAACGCUGGCGGCGUGCUUAACACACGCAAGUCGAGCGAUUCUCUUCGGAGAAGAGCGGCGGACGGGUGAGUAACGCGCGGGUAACCUGCCUCAUACACAUGGAUAACAUACCGAAAGGUAUGCUAAUACAAGAUGAUAUAAGAGAUUCGCAUGGAUUUCUUAUCAAAGCUCCGGCGGUAUGAGAUGGACCCGCGUCUGAUUAGCUAGUUGGUAAGGUAACGGCUUACCAAGGCGACGAUCAGUAGCCGACCUGAGAGGGUGAUCGGCCACAUUGGAACUGAGACACGGUCCAAACUCCUACGGGAGGCAGCAGUGGGGAAUAUUGCACAAUGGGCGAAAGCCUGAUGCAGCAACGCCGCGUGAGCGAUGAAGGCCUUCGGGUCGUAAAGCUCUGUCCUCAAGGAAGAUAAUGACGGUACUUGAGGAGGAAGCCCCGGCUAACUACGUGCCAGCCGCCGCAGUAACAC